GACGAACGCUGGCGGCGUGCCUAAUACAUGCAAGUCGAACGAAGCUUUUUUAACUGGUGCUUGCACCGACUUAAACAACUGAGUGGCGAACGGGUGAGUAACACGUGGGUAACCUGCCCCAAAGCGGGGGAUAACAUUUGGAAACAGAUGCCAAUACCGCAUAACCACAGAAACCACAUGGUUUCUGUGUCAAAGAUGGUUUCGGCUAUCACUUUGGGAUGGACCCGCGGCGUAUUAGCUAGUUGGUAAGGUAAUGGCUUACCAAGGCAAUGAUACGUAGCCGAACUGAGAGGUUGAUCGGCCACAUUGGGACUGAGACACGGCCCAAACUCCUACGGGAGGCAGCAGUAGGGAAUCUUCCACAAUGGACGAAAGUCUGAUGGAGCAACGCCGCGUGAGUGAAGAAGGUUUUCGGAUCGUAAAACUCUGUUGUUAAAGAAGAACGUAUCUAAGAGUAACUGCUUAGGUAGUGACGGUAUUUAACCAGAAAGCCACGGCUAACUACGUGCCAGCAGCCGCAGUAA
rnacentral:rRNA from 1 species